CUCGAACGACUUAGCUGAGUGACUUCUACAAAUAAAUUGAAUCAUUACUGACUGGAAAUGAAUCACUGCUAACAGGCUCCAGACGCGUGGGGAAAUGGACAGACCAGCCUCGGAUGUGAAGCCUAGCAUUUCGGAAUACUUUCUGUAGUGCCGGGAUUUGCAGUUAGACAAAGGCUUUGUUUACUCCUCCAUCCACCCAUCCAGCCAUCCAUCCCCAGAACCUGGCCAUGAGUACCCACAACACUAAGCUCCAGGAACAUAGAAAUGAAUAAGGGCUUAAAAGCACAGUCUCUGCGAGGGGUAGAGGAUACAGAGUGCCAGAAGAUUGCAUCAGAUUCACGUAUGCUUGUUUUCCACUGGGCAGUCCCUGGGUGUUAAAAGAGAUGAUCUAGCCGACAUGGCUUUCAGGGACUCCUUGCCUUCUGUAAUGUGGAGCCCUGAAGCUGCAAGCAGCCAUCUUGCUACCAUAAAGCUUGCAUGAUGCAUCUUGAAGCCAAAGCGAAGCAAGCUGAGAUGCUGGGGAGCCUGCUGAAAGCAUCAUUUGAAUCUCUCUCUAAGGCGUGUCUGAAGCAAGGACUACCACUUCUUCUUUUGCUGCUUCAGCUAGUUCAGAUAUUACAGCUGCUUUCGUGUGGAUUUUCCAGAGGAAGGGAUCGUGAACAGACAGAAGUGAGGGGGAAGAAUCGGAGCUCCUGAAGAGCACCGCCCGUGCCGACAGAGUAAAUAAGGGGCUCCACCAGCAGUGGGGACGACGUGGACAGCCACCCCGCACCAAAGACUAGAGCAGAUGAGCAAAGUCUGGAGGGCAGCACCAGCCUCACAAUGUUACAUAAUGUCUCUUGUGCC
rnacentral:lncRNA from 1 species